CGCGUAGGCGGGAUGGCAAGUCGGUCGUGAAAUCCUUCGGCUCAACCGAAGAACGUCGAUCGAUACUGCUGUUCUUGAGGGUUGCAGAGGAGACUGGAAUUCCCGGUGUAGCGGUGAAAUGUGUAGAGAUCGGGAGGAACACCGGUGGCGAAGGCGGGUCUCUGGGCAAUUCCUGACGCUGAGGCGCGAAAGCGUGGGGAGCAAACGGGAUUAGAUACCCCGGUAGUCCACGCUGUAAACGAUGACGACUAGGUGUGGGGGGGUUCAGUCCCCUCCGUGCCGCAGCUAACGCAUUAAAUCGUCCGCCUGGGGAGUACGGCCGCAAGGUUGAA
rnacentral:rRNA from 1 species